rnacentral:rRNA from 1 species
GACGAACGCUGGCGGCGUGCCUAAUACAUGCAAGUCGAGCGGACCAACGGAGAGCUUGCUCUCCUGAGGUCAGCGGCGGACGGGUGAGUAACACGUAGGCAACCUGCCUGUACGACUGGGAUAACUCCGGGAAACCGGAGCUAAUACCGGAUAGGAUUUCAGACCGCAUGGUCUGAAAUGGAAAGACCUUGUGUCACGUACAGAUGGGCCUGCGGCGCAUUAGCUAGUUGGUGGGGUAACGGCCUACCAAGGCGACGAUGCGUAGCCGACCUGAGAGGGUGAUCGGCCACACUGGGACUGAGACACGGCCCAGACUCCUACGGGAGGCAGCAGUAGGGAAUCUUCCGCAAUGGACGAAAGUCUGACGGAGCAACGCCGCGUGAACGAUGAAGGUUUUCGGAUCGUAAAGUUCUGUUGUUAGGGAAGAACCGCCGGGAUGACCUCCCGGUCUGACGGUACCUAACGAGAAAGCCCCGGCUAACUACGUGCCAGCAGCCGCGGUAAUACGUAGGGGGCAAGCGUUGUCCGGAAUUAUUGGGCGUAAAGCGCGCGCAGGCGGCUUCUUAAGUCAGGUGUGAAAGCCCACGGCUCAACCGUGGAGGGCCACUUGAAACUGGGAGGCUUGAGUGCAGGAGAGGAGAGCGGAAUUCCACGUGUAGCGGUGAAAUGCGUAGAGAUGUGGAGGAACACCCGUGGCGAAGGCGGCUCUCUGGCCUGUAACUGACGCUGAGGCGCGAAAGCGUGGGGAGCGAACAGGAUUAGAUACCCUGGUAGUCCACGCCGUAAACGAUGAGUGCUAGGUGUUGGGGACUCCAAUCCUCAGUGCCGCAGCUAACGCAAUAAGCACUCCGCCUGGGGAGUACGGCCGCAAGGCUG